rnacentral:rRNA from 1 species
AGAUUAAACUGAAGAGUUUGAUCCUGGCUCAGAUUGAACGCUGGCGGCAUGCUUUACACAUGCAAGUCGAACGGCAGCGCGGGGCAACCUGGCGGCGAGUGGCGAACGGGUGAGUAAUAU